rnacentral:lncRNA from 1 species
AAGAGAUGCUCAGCUUGCUGACUCUCACACUUUCAGGGCUGGCUCACCAGCAACCACAGCAACCAGGGCCAGCUCCACCCUGCUGCCCAGAUGAGGGGCAAGUCUCACUCUCCCAAGUAUUGCAGCUAGUGAGGGACAUGACCUGUUAUACUAUCCAUCCGCCAUAGAUGGUGAGGGAUGAGAGAGGGGAGGAGCCUGUCUCUCCCUCAUCCCUGCCACAGCCUAGCAGGCAAGAGUCAAGGCUAGCUCACACUAGCUAGCUAGUGUCCUGUGCUCACACUCUCUGGGCUGGCUCAUUUGCAACCCCUACAACCAGGGCUAGUUCAACUGUGCUGCCCAGGCAAGAUGCAGGGCUUGCUCUCCUGAUUGCUGCAGCAGGUGAGGGGGACGGCCAGCUCUCUGGCUCUGAUGACCUCGAGGUCAGCUCUCUGUCUGCCGAAGGUGGCAAGCAGUGUGUGUAUGGGGGAGAAUCUGUCUUGCCCAUGUCAUCACAGGGCUGACAAGUGGUGGGGCCAGCUCUCCCAUGGUCACCUGCCACCAGCUCUGCAGUGCUGCCCAGGAGUGGUGUAGGGCCCACUCUCCAGAGUGCUGCAGCUAGGGGAGGACAGGGCCAGAUCUCCUGCUUCCAUGGCCUAGGCCAGGUCUCCCACCUGCUGUAGGUGAGAGGGAGGGGAGGUUAUCCCUCCUUUGUCUACUAGAGAAGACAAAAGGUAGGGCCAACUCUCCCAUGCUCACAUCCUCAGGACAGGCUCACCUGCAACUCCUACAAUGUGAGGUCUGAGCUCUCGAGGACUGCAGCUGGCUAGGUAGGGUGAGCUCCCCUGUUCUCCUGCUUCUAGGCCAGCUCUCCCACAAUUCCCAGGUGAGGAGUGGGGCCAACUUUGCACAGCCCUCCGACAUCAACCUGUCCUUGAGUGGCAGCCCAGACUAGGGACAUCUGCCUGGUAUUUGGUAACAGACCCCUGUUGCUGCAGAGCCAUCAAUUCAGACAUGGCCCCUGGUGGAAGCAUGGGCCAGGACCUUACUCACAGCAGGCUGUUUCUCACUACCCUUGAGUUUCCAGUUCCCCUUCUCUUCGUUGUGCCCCUGUUCUUCUGUUUCUCCUUCUCUUCCAUUUCUCCACCACUGACUUGCUCCUGGGCAGGGGUCACCUUGAUCAUUGUAUGCCCUCCAGGCGUGCACAGCCCUGGCCUGGUAUCCAUCUCAGGCUGGGUCUUUGUCUGGGCCCCAUGGCACCAGUCUGGUGUUCAUCUGGUCUUACUCCUUGCCCAGCAUGCCCGAGUGUCCAUCUGAUCUGUCUUGGGCUCACUCCUGCCAGGGGCCGCUGUCCCAGGCAGGUUUCUUCUGGUCUUAGGCUUGUUUCUCUACCUGGGAGACUCUGGGCCUGACUGGCGCCAGACUCGUGGUUGUCUCAGGCUCACCUUUUCUCAGGGAGUGCUAGGCUACUAAUCAUUUAGCCAUUCAUAGUCAGAACACUGUGUAGACAUAGCCUCUUUCCUCUCUGCCGUCUACUGACACACACGUGACAGUGCAGCCACAUCUGCACUACGUCUAGGGGCAGGCAGUUAUAACUUAUACUGAGUAUCUGUUGGAACUGACUCACUUGCUUUAUAAGAAAGGAAGCCUGUGCACCAUUUUACCGUGCUAGUUUAUCUUUUAUGGUAUUGGUCAUUAUAUUCUGUAUACUGUGGUUCACAUUCACCAGAUGAAACAGAUCUUUAGAACAGUUAGGAGACAAGCCUAGAUCUUUGGUUUCACACAGGCCUUCCGUCUACGGUAUUGAAUGCUGAUAUGCCGUGAUUACAUUGCACUUGGAGAGAAGACAGGCGCAGCAGUGGGAAACACGAGACCGUGGUGGCUUUACUCAGACACAGCUGUGCCUUACACUGUGUACCCAUGUGUUUGAGAUGCGUCUUGUAAAGGUCAAUAUUCAAGUUUCUAGUGCAUCAUUUUAGAUUUGAAGUUGAGACCCACUUAACUAUUUCACUAAGAAUUAAAGUCUUAAGCUGGAGGGAUGGCUAAGUGGUUAAGAGCAUUGUCUGCUCUUCCAAAGGUCCGAGGUUCAGUUCCCAGCACCUGCAUGGCUGCUCACACCUGUCUGUAACUCCAAUUUCAGAGGAUCUGACACUCUGACACAGACAUACAUGUACACAAAACACCAAUGUACAU